rnacentral:lncRNA from 1 species
AAUAACUCCUAGAACCUGUCUGUCAAGAAGCGCCCAUUCCUCAGCCUUCAUACUCUCAGGUUUUGUCCCCAAAAGAGGAAGAUGCAAUUUCCUCCCAUAGAGAUAAUCUUCAAUCUGCAUCCUCCAAUACGCAAAGUCUGUGCCAUCAAACUUUUCUAUUCCAGACGCCUUUCCUGCUUCCUUUGCCAUUGCUCCCACUCAAACCUAACCCUAGGCUCUGAUACCAG